AGUGAACGCUGGCGGUAGGCCUAACACAUGCAAGUCGAACGGCAGCACAGUAAGAGCUUGCUCUUACGGGUGGCGAGUGGCGGACGGGUGAGGAAUACAUCGGAAUCUACUUUUUCGUGGGGGAUAACGUAGGGAAACUUACGCUAAUACCGCAUACGACCUACGGGUGAAAGCAGGGGAUCUUCGGACCUUGCGCGAUUGAAUGAGCCGAUGUCGGAUUAGCUAGUUGGCGGGGUAAAGGCCCACCAAGGCGACGAUCCGUAGCUGGUCUGAGAGGAUGAUCAGCCACACUGGAACUUAGACACGGUCCAGACUCCUACGGGAGGCAGCAGUGGGGAAUAUUGGACAAUGGGCGCAAGCCUGAUCCAGCCAUCCCGCGUGGGUGAAGAAGGCCUUCGGGUUGUAAAGCCCUUUUGUUGGGAAAGAAAAGCAGCAGGUUAAUACCCCGCUGUUCUGACGGUACCCAAAGAAUAAGCACCGGCUAACUUCGUG
rnacentral:rRNA from 1 species